AAGCGGGUGGGAGUCCCGCCUGAGCAGCUCCGAGCCCGAGGCUCAGUAGCGAUUGUUGCAGCGUGCCUGGUAACAGUCACGUUGAAGCGUACACAGAAAGGUAGCGAGGUUGAAAGGUAUCGACUGACUGUCGAACCCUGAACGGUA
rnacentral:ncRNA from 1 species